rnacentral:tRNA from 1 species
AAACAAAAAGUGCAUAACAUGCACUCCCUG